CACUAAAAAAAAAAGUGUAUCAAAAACAUAUCUUUAAGAGCUCAUAAGCUUUCUUAUGGAUCUAAAGCCAAACCCAACAAAACAAAAACCCUAAUCGUGAGAGACUACUAGCAUCAAGUACCCAACCAAAUCCAAAUGUUAAAUAUUGAAAUCCGUGACGGAGGAUGAUACUUUCCCAUUCUCAAUCGCAUCACGGACCAAAGAUCACACCCCAAAAUUCAAAAAUUGAUCGAACAGCAAACAAAAGUUGAGAACUUUUUUACCGAAAGUUGAGAAAGCUAAGGCGGAAAGUACACUCAAUCCGUUGGCUCGAUCAGAUAAAUAAGAUUCUCUGAUUCGUCUUCUCUCAGGGCCAGGGGAGGUGAGGUUUUCUUCUGAUUCUUCGUGAGUGUUCCUCUCAAAGACUCGUUUUCGUCUUUCUUCGGCGGUCAAAGGAUACGUCAGCCUCCUUUAUUUGGCUGAGUCGUACGGUCUGAGAUUUUGAUCAGGAGGAUAAAAGGCAAAACAUCUUGAAGGAGCUGUCUUGCCCACCACACCACCAUAACUCCUGACAUUAUUGUUCUUAGAGAUAAUAACGUUUUGAGGAUACUCGGGAAAUGGAUUGUUUCCACGGUUUAACUUUUUCUUAAAUUCAAAAAGAUUUGCAGAUACGACCAAAGAAGAAACAAUGCCUAGUAGGAAGAACAGAGGAAACACCAAGUGGGCGGGCUAACUCCGGUCAUCGGUGUCACCGUCUUCAUCGUUGGAGCUAAGGGAGAUUGCGUUGCAACUUGCACGGUCUCUCCAUAGGUUCUCUCGUUCCAGCCACUCAGAGAGAACCCUCUCUUAGUCUCAUCUUCUUUAUUGUAAGAAUUCGGUCUGUUUCAACAAUAAAAGUGUCGAUCUUUUUCUUCCCAAGAGUGAAGGUUUUGAUCUGUCUGAUCCUUUACUGCCUUACAAAUCAGGUUCAGGCUUGUUGUAUGUUCAAAACUAUCUUUCGUUCAUCAUUUUCACCAAAGUUGGUUUUGAUUUUUCUCUGUUUGACCCUUUGACGCUUAAGAAUUCAAGUUCAAACUUGUGGUUUCAGAUUGGAGAAGAUGGGAGCUUGCCAAGUGUCUCCUCCUUGUAAAACUUUUAAGCUAAGUGGACACAGAGAGUGAAAUCCAGUUAGCUUUUGUUUAGUAGUAACACAUUUUCAUCGUCAUCCUCGUUUGCUUCUGAACAUUUUCAUCGGUGGUUGAAGGAGAUUAAUGUGAUUACAAAUUGAUCUUAUUUUGAAUGUGGAGAUAUGUUAAGAUUUUUUCUUUGUUUAUAUAAUGUUUACUAAAACUUAAAUUCUCUCAAAUGCACUGAAAUAUAUUUUAAAUUCUUUGAAUUUUAUUGAUCGAGAAACAUGAAACUAACACCAAACCAGAUAUCAAAUUAGACUUGUUUUUUUUUCGAGCCAGUUUACCUGAGAUUGAUAUAUAAUAUUUAAAAACCGUAACCUGUAUACUGCCCUCUUUGGAAGACUGAGACCCUCUUUGAAAUGGAUCAUCAUGUUUUGUCCUUAUUGAGUCUGUUAUCUCUGCUUCACGAAGGUGAAGAAACAAACCUACAGAAACGGAUCAUCAAGUUAAGUGCUAUAACAUACCCAAUUUAAUGUGAAGUGAUCUCUUCGUCGUUGAGUUGAGUCAUGUUACCAAUAGUUCGGUGUCCUUGAGUAUCUUCAUCAUUAAACGCCUGAAUACUAAUCUGGAUAUGGUAUUUAAAAAGCGUCUCAUCAAACCCAAGUUUGAACAUUGAAGGUUUCCAAAGAGAAAGUUUGCUGACUGAGAUAUGACCCCUGUUCGGAAACUCGCUAGGCGUUACGCGUGCGCUCGGUUUGGGCCUAGCGCCGAAUGAGAAAAUCGGAGAUUUUGCGGGAUUUAAUCGGCGAUUUAUUUUUAGCUAUAUAUUAUACAUUUAUAAACAAUACAAAGAAGAUUACUUAGUGUAGUGGUUGAGGCUCACCUUUUAUGUCUUGCAACCCGGGUUCAAAUAAGGGAAAAGGCAGAAUUGCAUUUAAAGUUUAACUUAAAUGAAGGGUAAUUAUGUCAUUUAUAUAUCGUCUUCCUCUUUACAUUAUUAGGGUUUCUGCGUUUUCAAGCUCGACGGCUCCGUAACUUUGACGAGUUUUAGAUCGAUUUUCUUCGUUUUUAUUGUUUUUUCUCGCAAAUUUCAUAAACCGUAUGUAUAUUAGUCGAUUCUUAGGCCAAAACAAGCAAUAACUUAAGAUUUUUUGUGAGAUCCGAGUUUUCCAGCGAAUUUCUCUAGUUCGCCACGGUUGAUGGCCGGAUAACGAUUUUCCGGCGACUUUGCGGUCCUCGGCGGCGCGUUUUAAAACAGGGAUAUGACACUACAAGAAAACACCGGGAUUCCGACGACAAAUAUCGUCGGUAUGUCCUCGGAAUAACGGUAUUCCGAGGACAUACCGACGAGAAUGGUCGUCGGAAAUUUUUCGUCGGAAAGUAAAAUGGAGAAAUUAUAUGUUUACCACUUUCAUGGUACCACUUUUCAUUUUUACCUUCACUAAUGAGACAUUUUUAAAAAUACCUUAUUCAUUAAUUGGUAAAAGACUAUUAUGCCCUUAUUAUUUAUAUAUAUAAUAAAUCAUUAUUUAAAUAAAAAUAAUAAUAAAAUAAUAAUAAAAAUAAUAAUAAAAAAAGAUAAAAAAAAAUAAAAAA